ACGAACGCUGGCGGCGUGCUUAACCCAUGCAAGUCGCACGGAAAGGCCCUGCUUUUGUGGGGUGCUCGAGUGGCGAACGGGUGAGUAACACGUGAGUAACCUGCCCUUGACUUUGGGAUAACUUCAGGAAACUGGGGCUAAUACCGGAUAGGAGCUCCUGCUGCAUGGUGGGGGUUGGAAAGUUUCGGCGGUUGGGGAUGGACUCGCGGCUUAUCAGCUUGUUGGUGGGGUAGUGGCUUACCAAGGCUUUGACGGGUAGCCGGCCUGAGAGGGUGACCGGCCACAUUGGGACUGAGAUACGGCCCAGACUCCUACGGGAGGCAGCAGUGGGGAAUAUUGCACAAUGGGCGGAAGCCUGAUGCAGCAACGCCGCGUGCGGGAUGACGGCCUUCGGGUUGUAAACCGCUUUCGCCUGUGACGAAGCGUGAGUGACGGUAAUGGGUGAAGAAGCACCGGCUAACUACGUG
rnacentral:rRNA from 1 species